AUGUGGAAGUUGGUGUGGAAUGCUGAUAUCCCAAACAAGGUCCGGUCCUUUGGUUGGAGGUUGGCCUGUGAUAAUCUUGCUACAAAGCAGAAUAAAUGCAAAAGGAAUCUGGAGAUUGAUAGUACGUGCAAUAUUUGUGGUAUGGCAGGCGAGAACAGUUUUCAUGCUGUGGUGGAAUGUACCAAAGCCCGUGCCUUAAGAGAUCAGUUGCGAGGGGUGUGGGAUCUUCCCGGGGAAAGGGUUCUUAUUUAAAAUGGGCCUGACUGGCUUCUAAUCCUCCUUGCAAAAAUCAAACCAAGGCAGCGUGAUUUGGUGCUUCUUGUGUUCUGGCGUGCUUGGUUCCUCCGAAAUGAUGUGGUCCACAACCAAGGGAAGAGCUCCAUUUUAGACUCGGUUAGAUUCCUGCAAAACUUCUCUGUUUCUUUUUGGGGUGAAUGCCUCGCUACUGAUGAUAAAGGAAAGAAGCCGGUUGUUGCGCCUUCUCCUCAGAAGUGUCAUAUUGUUGACCAAACCUGGUCCAAGCCAUGCUGGUAUGUCUAG
rnacentral:rRNA from 1 species